UACGUAGGAUCCGAGCAUUAUCCGGAGUGACUGGGCGUAAAGAGUUGCGUAGGUGGUGUCUCAAGUAGCUAGUGAAAUCUGGUGGCUCAACCAUUCAGACUGUUAGCUAAACUGGGAUACUCGAGAGCGUCAGGGGUGACUGGAAUUUCUAGUGUAGGAGUGAAAUCCGUAGAUAUUAGAAGGAACACCAAUAGCGUAGGCAGGUCACUAGGGCGUUUCUGACACUAAGGCACGAAAGCGUAGGGAGCAA
rnacentral:rRNA from 1 species